CUAUAUAGUAGGUCAUUUAAAUACAUCAUAGCAGGUACAGAACUGUGAUCUCUGACAAAAAAUCUGUUAUUCUUGUAUAAAAAAAAUAUGAGAAUAUGCAGACUUGUAUACAUCGGGGGAUCGUGAAGAUUUUAUCGGUGAGUAUUUGCUCUCGGAAGGGCAAUGAUUAAUUUUAAAUAAUCGGACAUAGUACGAUAAGGUUGUAUGUCUAAAGGGAAACAGCCCAGAACAAGAGUUAAGGUUCCAAAAUUAUAGUUAAGUGAAAUUAAGGAAGUUUUCUCCGAAUACAACCAGGAAAUAGGCUUAGAAGCGGCCAUUUUUUGAAGACCUCGUAACAGAGCACUGGUUAACCUAUAUUUUUAUAUAAAGUAGAAAGCGCCGAAAAUUCAACGGAUCUAAACUAUAUACCGACACCUUGUCUAUAAUUAAUAGUAUUAAAAUAUAAGUAAUAUAGAAAAACAAAUUUUAUAUUAUUUGUUAAAUAUUGUAGUUAUAGGGUAGCAGAACGUAGAGGAAAUUUUUGAUUUAUUCUUUUUAAGAAUAGAAAUUAAUUUAAAAUAACUCUAGUGAGAAUGCUGACAUGAGUAACGAAAAAGGGGGAUAACCCCUCGCCUUAAGCUUAUGGUAUUUAAUUAUGUAACGGCCUCUAAGUUUUUAUAACCUAAAGGUUUAGACGAUGAGAAAAAGAAACAUAUUAUAAUUUAACCUUACCAAAAAAAUUUUUUUUAGAGUAGGUAAGAGUUCUGGAAAAAUUUAUAGCGGUUAAAUUAGGGAAUAAACUAAAACAGAUAUACGAAAUUUAAACGAAAAAACCGUACCUAAAUACUACCUCUAGUAAGCAAGUAGAGUAUACGAAGGCGUUG
rnacentral:rRNA from 1 species